rnacentral:ncRNA from 1 species
CCCGGUUCGCCGGGACGAAAUGUGGUCGACUGUUCGACUGAAUCGCAAG